GAAACUUCCACUGACUGUUUCACACCCGUGUUGAGUAAGAAAAGAGUGUGGACAGUGCGCAUGAGCACCUUAUUAAUUUGCUAUAACUGGAGAACGAGAUGUCCUCAGAGUGUUAAUAUUUUACUUUGAAGGCUUUUUAAGUGUUAAAGGAAUUAUUUACUCUAUUUUUUGCGGGGGUGGGGGGUGGGGGAAGGGUGUGGCCUAAAAACUUUGCUCUCUAGAAAAACCUUUGCUCUCUUUUCAUUUUCCUAUCUGUUUGCCUCUUGCAGAAUACCAUCUGCCAGUUGUGUAGUGUGUUCUGCCCUUCU
rnacentral:lncRNA from 1 species